rfam:Dichanthelium oligosanthes cultivar Kellogg 1175 unplaced genomic scaffold Do_version_2_scaffold465, whole genome shotgun sequence.
CCGGACGGAAGAGAGCGUCCUUCAGUCCACUCAGGGGCGGUGCUAGGGUCGAAUUAGCUGCCGACUCAUUCACCCACAUGCCAAGCAACGGCCAUGGAAAGAGCUAAGCUUUGCAGAUGAGUGAAUGAAGCGGGAGGUAAAGGCUUCGAUCUCGCACCAUCUUUGCUUGGACUGAAGGGUGCUCCCUCCUCCUUGCUU